UGACACAUCACAUACAUAUCUGCCCAACCAUUGUGGAAACUUGCUCACAUGGAUACUUUCAAUAUCCCUUUUUGAUGAAUGAGGUCGUUCCUUUUGGAUCAACUCUAAGUGCAUCCUUAACAUAGAAAAUAAUAUUAUAUGUGAGGUUUCUAGUAACACCUACAAAUUUUGUAAUAUUAUAAAAUAAAAAAUUAUAUUUUACUUACAAUGCAUAUGGUUGAACCUCUUCUUGAUUGAAUAAUAUAUAUCAAUGAGCUUGAUCCAACUCCGCAUUAUCCAUCUUACAAGAACUCCCAGCACCCAA
rnacentral:lncRNA from 1 species